UGGGGAAUAUUGGACAAUGGGCGCAAGCCUGAUCCAGCCAUACCGCGUGGGUGAAGAAGGCCUUCGGGUUGUAAAGCCCUUUUGUUGGGAAAGAAAUCCAGCUGGUUAAUACCCGGUUGGGAUGACGGUACCCAAAGAAUAAGCACCGGCUAACUUCGUGCCAGCAGCCGCGGUAAUACGAAGGGGGCAAGCGUUACUCGGAAUUACUGGGCGUAAAGCGUGCGUAGGUGGUCGUUUAAGUCCGUUGUGAAAGCCCUGGGCUCAACCUGGGAACUGCAGUGGAUACUGGGCGACUAGAAUGUGGUAGAGGGUAGCGGAAUUCCUGGUGUAGCAGUGAAAUGCGUAGAGAUCAGGAGGAACAUCCAUGGCGAAGGCAGCUACCUGGACCAACAUUGACACUGAGGCACGAAAGCGUGGGGAGCAAACA
rnacentral:rRNA from 1 species